GAGGGGCUCUGGGCACAGCGGGAGCGCUGAGGUGAUCGCCGCGCUGCCCUCCGUGUGGGAGUCUGUCUGAGGGGAUCCGCGCCGCGUCCGCAGCUUCCCUGGGCCGCCUGUGCCGGAAUAUGGAGCAUCAGUAGAAGCUCGGGAGGUGAGCAGUCAUCUGACAUGAUUGACACUGAUUUUCUGCUUCAGAUAGCUUCUAAUAGAAAAGACUCAUAACAAAAAAAAACCAACAGAAUGAGGUCCUUGCUCCUGAAAGAUUAAGUCCAAUCCGAUGGUGCUGCUGGGGUGGAUGAUGAUGAUGCCAAACUGCAACAUUAAAAUAUGUACAGUAUGAACCAAAGCCCAGCUCAGAGGUUGGCAUUAACCCACUGUUGGUGCUGACCAGCCCUGGAGAGAUCAGAAAAAAACAACAACAAAAAAACAAAGCAAUGCAGAAACACAAACUGCAGAUCUCCUCCGGCAUUUGGCAGCGGUUCCUUCAGCAUGAGCAGCAGAUGCUAAAUCAUUUCAGAAGAGGGAGGGAUACAAGGUAUGUGAAAAAUCAUGGAUUUUCAGUUCUCUGCACUAAAGAUAGCGCAGCUGGGUGACAGCCCUGCUCUUACUGCAGUGCUUUUUGCUGAGGGCUUGAGCAACAGUCUGUACGUUUAAUGUCAGCUGGGCAGCUCCCUACCCCUCUCCCCCAGACAGCAAGGGAUAAAAUGCUGUAUCUGCUUCAAAAGAAUGGGAUUUUUCACCUGUCUCACAUUCAGAAGCCUUUUAAUACUUGCUGUAACAUUUCCAGCAGUCCUUAUCCCUCCCUCUUUACAGCUUCACCCUACAGCUUCAUAUUUCUCAAGAGAAUGAGUGCACCAUAAGUAUGCCCAGCAGAUUCUAUGAACAUACCGUUGCAUGCCCAUCAAAAAAUGAUAUCUUUGUUGAAAAUGUUUACUCUGUCCAAUGAAUAUAUUUUGUACACCAUGAACUUUGCUGUUGAAACACAGAGCACUAUUUUCGAAAGCCAGUACGUAUGUUUUGUGGGUUUUAAGAGUAUCUGUCUUUGCUGGCGCCUGCAUCAAAGCAGCGCGUACAGCUUAUCACACUAAUAUUACCCAGCACAGAAUGAUACCUCUGAACAUUUAAAAUCAGAGAGUUGUGGGUAUGCAGGGUUUUUAUUUUUAAGAUUUUGCUCUGACAGCUUGUAUAGCAGCACAGCAUUCUCCUCAGGACUGCAAGCCUACCAUCAAAACGUGUUAUGCAAAAUAGCGUAUGGAAAGCUUUCGUGGUGAAUGGAUCCUGCACUUCAGUUUCACUCCUCCGUGGCAUCUAUCAGCUGAAGCCUCACCCAACACUUCAACAAUGCAGAUCUGACUGUGGGGGUUCCCAUCCACACCACUGCAGCAGCAACCAGAACAGGCUGUGCCACGCUCCGAGCAGCCCUGCUAAUGCUGCUUUCUCAAGGAAAACCACAUGGCAUCAUUUCACGACUGUUUCGCAGCACAAUCCAUUACAGUCGCCCCAACAGCAUUAUUAUCCUUCAGUGUUAUUUGUGCCCCCGUUUUAUGCAGAAUUUUCUGUCGUGAGCCUCUGGUCUCCCAUCAGCACCUCGUCCUUACUAGAAAGAGACAGCUGCCCACAUGUUCUAACAGACCAUAAACCUCCAUGUAUGUAAGACUGAGGAUUUUCACUUCUUUCUCCCUUCACUUUACACCCCUUCAAGGACGUUAUUAUCAAACGCAGAAGAGAUGAAGCCACAGAAUACAAAGGAAUUUAAACUGCACACAACAGAAAGAGAAGCAUUUGGGGCUCAUUGUGCUGUGUUGCCUUGAUUUUGUGCUGUGCUAUUUCACCCACCUACAAGCAGCCUUUUUGCUGCGGCACGCAGCAACCAGCAGCAAUUUCUUGCUGAUAGCCGCAGUGCUGCCAGCACCAUGCCUGCAGCAUGCAGGCUGUGAGCACGGAGCCCAUAAGUGGCUCUUUCUGCCUGCUGGGAGGGCACGGAGGGCAUACACUCAUACUCGUCACUGUCAUGCUCUCUUUCUCAUGCAGCAGCUAACGGGGGCAGCAGGAUCAUACAACUCACAAGCACGGCCAGCAUCACAGAAAAUCAAAAAGCUGCAGAAAGCCACCAAGCUGUCUUUUGAACAAUGCAUCAGUAAAAAAAACAAACAAUAAUAAGGAUCUAGUGAAGUUACCAUCUUUCACUAAUGGAAACAAGAUGGCUUCUGCUGUUACAAGAAGUACCAGAACAAUUCUAAAAUAGAAUCUCACCCAGCUGUGAGAGCAGCAUGAGGACACUCCUAACCACUGCUGAGAGGUAGGCCACGUCCUCACACAGCACGCUGUCUUCUUUUCUUUAUUCAGACCUUAGGCUCGGUGUGGAGGUGAGAGCCCUCAAUGAGCUACUCCUGCCUGCCUCAUCACCAUCAUAUCUGUGCCUGAUCGCUGUUCUGGAGCUUCCAGCAAUCGGGGCUGCAGUUUGCAGCAGCGCUGCUCCAAGAAGCAACGACUGCAAUGUUCAAGGGGAGAAAUUCUGCUAUUUUGCAGCUCUACUGGUAAUUUUUGUCUGCUGCUGAAGACAGCAGCAUUGGAGUCAUUCAACUGCAAAUUUCAGAAGAGACACUUCUCUGGUUUAAAGCACCUUCCUGAACAGGAUAACCAGACGCAGGUUAUUCCAAGUUCUCCAGUGACAGAAUUUCUGAAGUGAUGGUUAAUGGCUGGGAAAAUCCCAGGGAUCAGGCAGCAGGCCUAACCCCGGCUGUGAUUUGUCAUCGUGCUGUCUGGGCCGGCACUAUUGGCUGCAGUGUGCAACGGGCAGGGUCUGUGCGGGAGCAAAGUACGGGGUGCUGACUGCUGACCACCCACAGCCACUCCUCCCCAGCUCAGGGGGGAGGAUCACCUGGAAACGCCAUCACAUUCCAACUGCGAUCCUUCCUCUAACGCACAGCCUCUCCCUAACCUCUGCUGCACCCGGUGUCUGUGUGCUCUGCGCCUCGUAGCUCUCUUCUGAGAGCUCUCCGGUACCGCCGCCGUGCUCGAGUUCUGAGCGGGAAUAAAAGCAACCCUUAGGGCUGUCACUGGCCCUGCUGGG